GGAAACUAUAAUGAGAUUGGCAAUCUAGUCUUGGGGGAAUGAUGAAGCUUCACGUUUAUACCUGUUCAACUGGGAAGCAGAUGAAUACAGCGUCAGAUUCGCUGAUCUUAAUCAUGCCGCUGGGAAGUUUAUCUUGCUAACGUAUGACUUUCAGAGUCCAAAAAGAGACUGAGUAGGGGCAAGUUGCUGCUGUUAAUGGAGUACAGAGGUGGAAAAUAUCAAUGCUCUCCUGCAUAACCCAGUGGUGUGCCAUGAAGGACAGCCAUCUAGUGAAACACAGGUCAGGAUCAUGCAGCAAGAGGAACUAAAGUUCAGAGCAGACUAUUUCUCUUUUCUAAGUUCUGCAACUUUUAUCACAGCCAUGGUGACAAUUCUGUAGUAAAAUCCUUUUGGAAUCUCCUAA
rnacentral:lncRNA from 1 species